rnacentral:rRNA from 1 species
UACGUAGGGGGCAAGCGUUGUCCGGAAUUAUUGGGCGUAAAGAGCGUGUAGGCGGCCAGAUAAGUCCGCUGUGAAAUCUCGAGGCUCAACUUCGAGCUGUCGGUGGAAACUAUCUGGCUAGAGUCCGGAAGAGGAGAAUGGAAUUCCUGGUGUAGCGGUGAAAUGCGCAGAUAUCAGGAGGAACACCAACGGCGAAGGCAGCACUCUGGGCCGGUACUGACGCUGAGGAGCGAAAGCGUGGGGAGCAAACAGG